rnacentral:rRNA from 1 species
GAUGAACGCUGGCGGCGUGCUUAACACAUGCAAGUCGAGCGAGAAACUACAUGCAGACACUUCGGUAGAAGCGAGUAGCGGAAAGCGGCGGACGGGUGAGUAACGCGUAGGCAACCUGCCCUUCACAGAGGUAUAGCCUCGGGAAACCGGGAUUAAAACCACAUAAAAUCAUAGGUUCGCAUGAACCAAAGGUCAAAGAUUUAUCGGUGAAGGAUGGGCCUGCGUCUGAUUAGCUGGUUGGUAGGGUAAAAGCCUACCAAGGCGACGAUCAGUAGCCGACCUGAGAGGGUGAUCGGCCACAUUGGAACUGAGACACGGUCCAAACUCCUACGGGAGGCAGCAGUGGGGGAUAUUGCACAAUGGGGGAAACCCUGAUGCAGCAACGCCGCGUGAGGUAUGAAGGCCUUUGGGUUGUAAGCCUCUGUCCUAGGGGAAGAAAAAAAUGACGUACCCGAGGA